rnacentral:rRNA from 1 species
GACGAACGCUGGCGGCAUGCCUAAUACAUGCAAGUAGAACGCUGAAGGAGGAGCUUGCUUCUCUGGAUGAGUUGCGAACGGGUGAGUAACGCGUAGGUAACCUGCCUGGUAGCGGGGGAUAACUAUUGGAAACGAUAGCUAAUACCGCAUAAGAGUAGAUGUUGCAUGACAUUUGCUUAAAAGGUGCAAUUGCAUCACUACCAGAUGGACCUGCGUUGUAUUAGCUAGUUGGUGGGGUAACGGCUCACCAAGGCGACGAUACAUAGCCGACCUGAGAGGGUGAUCGGCCACACUGGGACGGAGACACGGCCCAGACUCCUACGGGAGGCAGCAGUAGGGAAUCUUCGGCAAUGGACGGAAGUCUGACCGAGCAACGCCGCGUGAGUGAAGAAGGGUUUCGGAUCGUAAAGCUCUGUUGUAAGAGAAGAACGAGUGUGAGAGUGGAAAGUUCACACUGUGACGGUAUCUUACCAGAAAGGGACGGCUAACUACGUG